ACCAUAUAGUUAGGUAGGUCCAUUUUAAUUUGCCUAUAAAAGAGAGCAGCUACCACGAAGAGACUUCAACACCAGAAACAGAGAAUACAUCAAUAUAAACAAAUUAACCAGAAGAGUACUACCAGUACUGCUGUUAACAAGAUGGCUAAGGCACCAUGCAGGCGUCUUCUCCUUGUGGCUUUUGUCUUGCUUUGCUUCAUCGCAGUUAAGCUAAGAGCUCGGAGUUUGCCUAGAACUGUGACUACCGGAGAAGGAGAAAAGGAACGAGUAGAUCGGUCCAUACCGAAAGAAGCUGAGAUGCCGGAAAGUACCGACGAAGACGUGGGUGUGAUAGACUAUACUCCUGCACGAAAGAAGCCUCCAAUUCAUAAUUAAUUAAACUGGGAAUUUAGUAGCUAGCCAGUCCCGCCCCCUUUAGUUUUGUUUCUUAUGUCUUUUUUAUAUCUCCCAUGGAGCUAAUAUAUAUAGCGAUUAUGGUCAGUCUGUAUAGUUUGGUGUACAGUUGGUGAGAUAUUAGAAAAGGGGAAAGAAGAAUUAAUAUAGAAUGGACGGACGAACGAUGGGAUGCAUGCGAAUUGCAAGCCAGAAACAAAUAUGUCGUAUGAUAUAUAGCUAGGUUUAUGAGUUAAUAAUCACCAAAUAGGUUUUUGGGUUUCACUGAAAUUGGGUUAUGGCGAGAUAUUCGAGGUCCUCUGGGAAAAGCUGAAUAUUGCAUGUAACUUGAAAGCACAGCCACUGAUUAAAAGGAAGAAAGAAAUUAACCUUGAAA